rnacentral:lncRNA from 1 species
AUCACAGAAACUCUCAGCCAAGAACCAGCAAGAACAAUAAAAUAUUCUCCAUUUGCUUUCUGUAUUGGUCAGUGCCCAGCCAAGAAAACAAAAUUACUACACAAGAGAGGUAAAUACAAAUAUAUCAAGAUGAUAAAGAAGACCAUUAGAUACCCUUCAUUAACCAAGAAGAAAGUUUCUUACCUCAUCAGCAGCCUUACCAUCUACUUUACAGGGUUUUUGGACCAGAAUGGCAGCUACUCUGUGUGACACUGCAGCAAAACGUAAGGCAGUUGUCAAAUGUUCAUCACCCACAUAUAUCCCUGGAUAUUAAAUUGAAGUCAAAUUUUAUGAGACUGUCACCUGACAGGAUUUAGGCAUUUUUGUUUACUUUUCCCAUCUUGUAUUGUCUAUAAUAGGAUAUAUGGAAGACUGUCUAUAAGCAAAUUUAUGAUGGAGGCAUUAUUUUGCUCCACUAACAACUCAUUAAACUUAGCAAUUUUUGGCAAAAAGCAACAUGUGGAUAAGAAGUAAUUAGACCAUUUUGCUUAUUCAGGCCGUAGACUGUUUCUGAAUGCAGUUCUGAGAAAGGAUGUUAAAAGUGAUUUCAUAUAUUCAUUCUUUCUUUCAUUUAUUUCAAGAAGUGCCUACCCCUGAUAUAGGUUCUAAAACUUUUCAAUCUAAGUGCUUGCCAUCAUGAGCUACAUUAUGAAUCAUAAGGAAGGAAGGCAAUCACUAGUACACAAAUUUGCAAUAACAGCAGCUUCAUUGUAACAAGCUUUAUAAUCUAAUGAGAGUGCUUUCGAGGACUGUGCCAAUUCAAUGUAUAAUUUAGUCACUCAAAAAUACUAAAUGAGUAUCUUCCAUGUGCCAAAUACUGUUCUAGACUCCAGGGAAUAGAAAUGUCUAUGACACAGACAUGAAUAUCUAAUCCACCCUUAUAGAACUUACACUCUGGAGCAGAAACCAACAAUAAGGUUUUUUUGUUUUGUUUUUAGAUAAUAGUAAGUGCAAAAGAGAAAAAUGAGCAAGGGAAUGAGAUAUAGUGUCAGUAGGGAGCAAUUUUAGUUAGAGUGGCCAGGAAAGCCUCAUUGCAAACAUGACAUGGGAGUAAAGACCAAUCACAUCAGUGUUGAUCUUCAUAAGUUAUGGCCCUGGAACAUGAGAGACAGAAAGGCAGAGAUAAGCAAAGUAACUUUCGAAAGGUUCCUAACAAAAUGUCACCUUACCCCUGGAAAGAGACCUGUAAUGCUGUUUGCAUUUUAGCCUUUUAAUGUAAG